ACUGCUGAAAAGGGGAUUUUUCCUCUUGACUCCAACUGUGGGCUUUAUAUCUAGUCCUGAAGGGACCCUCAUUCUGCUGAUCCAGUAACUUGGACGUCUGACUUCACUGGAGUCAUCUUCUGUUUGGUUUACCUCACUGUUUGAUUGGCCUUUUAUUUUUUUUUCACUGUGGUGAUUUUAAAUUCAAUCCACAGUGCAAGCACCUUCAGAGGACCGAAGCAGUUGUUUUUACCCUGUGUGAAAAAAUGUGACUAAACAAAUAAAUAAAAUUCACGUUUGAAGCCAUAUA